GGACGGACGCACCGCUGGUGCACCGGUUGUCACGCCAGUGGCACAGCCGGGCAGCUAUGUGCGGUACGGAUAAACGCUGAAAGCAUCUAAGCGUGAAGCGAACCCCAAGAUAAGAUAUCCCACUGAGUUAAUCAGGUAAGACCCCUUCAAGACUAGGAGGUUGAUAGGCGUGCGGUGUAAGUAUAGUGAUAUAUUGAGCUGGCACGUACUAAUCGGUCGAGGGUUUGACCUU
rnacentral:rRNA from 1 species